AUUGAACGCUGGCGGCAGGCCUAACACAUGCAAGUCGAGCGGAUGAGUGGAGCUUGCUGCAUGAUUCAGCGGCGGACGGGUGAGUAAUGCCUAGGAAUCUGCCUGGUAGUGGGGGACAACGUUUCGAAAGGAACGCUAAUACCGCAUACGUCUUACGGGAGAACGCAGGGGACCUUCGGGACUUGCUCUAUCAGAUGAGCCAAGGUCGGAGUAGCUAGUAGGUGAGGUAAUGGCUCACCUAGGCGACGAUCCGUAACUGGUCUGAGAGGAUGAUCAGUCACACUGGAACUGAGACACGGUCCAGACUCCUACGGGAGGCAGCAGUGGGGAAUAUUGGACAAUGGGCGAAAGCCUGAUCCAGCCAUGCCGCGUGUGUGAAGAAGGUCUUCGGAUUGUAAAGCACUUUAAGUUGGGAGGAAGGGCAGUAAGUUAAUACCUUGCUGUUUUGACGUUACCAACAGAAUAAGCACCGGCUAACUUCGUGCCAGCCGCCGCGGUAAAAC
rnacentral:rRNA from 1 species